rnacentral:rRNA from 1 species
UGGGGAAUAUUGGACAAUGGGCGAAAGCCUGAUCCAGCCAUGCCGCGUGUGUGAAGAAGGUCUUCGGAUUGUAAAGCACUUUAAGUUGGGAGGAAGGGCAGUAAGUUAAUACCUUGCUGUUUUGACGUUACCGACAGAAUAAGCACCGGCUAACUCUGUGCCAGCAGCCGCGGUAAUACAGAGGGUGCAAGCGUUAAUCGGAAUUACUGGGCGUAAAGCGCGCGUAGGUGGUUAGUUAAGUUGGAUGUGAAAUCCCCGGGCUCAACCUGGGAACUGCAUUCAAAACUGACUGACUAGAGUAUGGUAGAGGGUGGUGGAAUUUCCUGUGUAGCGGUGAAAUGCGUAGAUAUAGGAAGGAACACCAGUGGCGAAGGCGACCACCUGGACUGAUACUGACACUGAGGUGCGAAAGCGUGGGGAGCAAACAGGAUUAGAUACCCAUGUAGUCCCUGAGCGGGCUGGCAAGGCGCAU